rnacentral:rRNA from 1 species
AUUGAACGCUGGCGGCAUGCUUUACACAUGCAAGUCGAACGGCAGCGCGGGCUUCGUCCUGGCGGCGAGUGGCGAACGGGUGAGUAAUGCAUCUGAACGUGCCCAUGACUGGGGGAUAGCCCUGCGAAAGCCGGAUUAUUACCACAUACGCCCUGGGGCUGAAGGUGGGGGACCGAAAGCCCUCGCCCUCUUGCAGUGGCCGAUGUCGGAUUAGCUAGUUGGUGGGGUAAAGGCUUACCAAGGCGACGAUCCGUAGCUGGUCUGAGAGGACGACCAGCCACACUGGGACUGAGACACGGCCCAGACUCCUACGGGAGGCAGCAGUGGGGAAUUUUGGACAAUGGGGGAAACCCUGAUCCAGCCAUGCCGCGUGCGGGAAGAAGGCCUUCGGGUUGUAAACCGCUUUUGUUCGGGAAGAAAUCCUCUGGGCUAAUACCCCGGGGGGAUGACGGUACCGGAAGAAUAAGCACCGGCUAACUACGUG